ACUUUUAAUAAUAGAUCUCUUAGUUCUAGUAUUAAUAAAGAACGUAGCAAAAUACAAUAAGUAAUAUAAAUUAUAGAAUUUAGUAAAUUAUUAAAUCUUUAAACGUAUAUUACGCCUACUAGUAUUCUAGUAGGCAUACCUAUUUAAGCGUUAUUUUAACCCUUAAGCUCUGCUUAGUGUUAGGGCCUUAUAGCGUACGUUAUAGGCCCUUAAAGGUAGUAGCAGACCCUCCUAGAGCCUCCUUUACGUAGUAACUAACGUCUUAUAUUAGGAUCUAGAGGGACUUUUGCUAUAAAACCCCUAACUUUUUAACUAGUUAACCUUAGAUUAGGUAGGAAUACCUACUAAACUUAAGUAUAUUAAUAAGUAGAGGAAAAGAAACUAAUAGGGAUUACCUUAGUAACGGUAAGUAAAGCAGUAACAGCUUAAAUUUAAAAUCUAGCCCUAGGCCUAAGUUAUAAUUUAUAGAGGAUGCUUUUAGCAUAGUGCCUUCUAAGUUCCCUAGAACGGGACGCUAUAGAGGGUGAGAGCCCUAUACGGUUAGACACUAAGCCUCUAUAAAGCUCCUUUAACAAGUUAAGUAGUUUAGGAAUACUGCUUAAAAUAGGAGGUAUAUUUCUUCUAAAGCUAAAUAUUAGCUAGAGACUAAUAGCGCAUAAGUAGAGUAAUUAAAAGAUAAAAAGCACUUUAAAAAGAGGGUUAAAUAGUAUAUAAAAUUAUUAAAAGGGAAGCGCUUAUAACUAGACUUACGCCUAGUAAAUCACCUAGCUCUUACAGCUAGGGCACUUCGCUAGCACAGGCCAGCAUUAGCUUGCCGUUAGGGACAAAAGCUUAGGGAACGUAGCUCUCUUUAGGGAGUGUUAUAGCCCCUUAUAUAAUACCUUUUAGCAGGCUAAGGUACAUGUUUAUAAGGAUACUAGCGUAAUAGUUAUUAGUAACCUAUCUUAAAAUAUAGACUAAGGAGUUAACCUUAUAUAUAAGUGUUUAGGUGUUAAACCCCUAUACGUAAUAAAAGUAAACGCAGGUAAGAGCUUUAGCGUAUUAUUAACUAAUCCUAAUAUUCUUAGAUAGAUUUAAGUAAGAGCAUAUAGGGUUAGACCUAAAAGAAGGUAAACUAUAUAUAUAUAAGGUAAAGCUAAAGGAAACUCUAGUAGAGGCUUAUAGCAGUUCUAACGUGUAAAUUAAUUAUUAAAUAUAUAUAUAGAGGCAAAAGACUAAUUAAACCUUCUAGUAGCUAGUUUCUACUAAAGUUUCCCUUAGGAUAGCAGUGUUAAACUUAGUUUUAUAAGGUAAAGUAAAUAAUUAAGGACUUAGGGGCGCUAUAUAGCCUUUAUCUAUUCUUAAACUUUAAAUAUAUAAAAAGCCCUUAUUACUUAAUUAAAUAUAGGCAUUUAAAUAUAUUAACACUAGUAGGCUAUUUUUAGUAAGCAGAACUAGCAAUAUAGAAUAAACUAAACGUAAGGUUAAGGUGCUAAAGUAGUUACUUAUUAGACACUACAAAAGGUGUUAGUACAUCUUAAUAGCAGGACGGUGGCUAUAGAAGUUAGAAUCUACUAAAGACUAUAUAAUAACUUACCUACUAAAUAUACUAGCCCUAAAAAUAGAUAGCGCUUAAGCAACUUACUUAUACCUUGCCCUUAGUGUAGAAAUAAUACGCUAAGGAGUAGGCAGACGUAGAGGUUAGUAAUAAAGCCUAGGGCGUAAGCCUAGGUAGAACGGCCUCUAGUGUAGAUCUUAGUAGUAGUAGUAAAUACUUUAAUAAGAACUUAAAGGACUAAAGUAGGGAAAGGUUCUAUGUAAAUAGCAGUUAGACAUAGGUUAGUUAAUCCUAAGCUAUAGGGAAGUUCUGUUUUAAAAGGGCACUUAUGCUUUAUAUAGCAAAAGGGAAGCCAGUUAAUAUUCUAGCACCUAGAUAUAGGUUUUACGUGGUAACGUAACUAAACGUAGAGAUAACGGCGGGGGCCCUAGGCAGAGUUCUCUUUUCUUCUUAACGGUCUAUUACCUUAAAAUCAGUUUAUCUAGAGCUAGGGUUUAACGGCUAAAAGAGCCUAGCACUUCUGUUAGGUCUAGUGCGCUCUUAACGUCCCUUAAAAAUCUAUAGAAAGGAAUAAUUCUUACGCUAGGUCGUACUUAUAACUACAGUAGGUCUCUAAGGUAAACAGCCUCUAGUUAAUAGAAUAAUAUAGAUAAGGGAAGUUAGUAAAACAGAUCUAUAACUUUAGGAUAAGGAUUAGCUCUAAGGGUUAGGUAUGUUAGGCUUUAGGCAGACGGCCUAGGAGCAGGUUGCUACUAGCUAGGCAACCGGCCGGAGGCUUUUAGUAUCUAGGUUCUAACACCUUUAGCAGGCUUUAGCUAUCUAGCGUAUAAUUAAUAACUAACUUAGAACUAGUACAGAUAAAGGGAAUCUAACUAUCUAAUUAAAAUAUAGUAUUAUAAUAGCUAGAAAGUGGUGUUAACGUAAUGUAAUUUCUGCCUAGUGCUCUAAAUAUUAAAGUAAAGUAAUUUAACUAAGCGUAGGUAAAUAGCAGGAGUAACUAUAACUCUUUUAAGGUAGCUAAAUGCCUUGUUAUCUAAUUAGUAACGUAUAUAAAUAGAUUAAUAAGAUUCCUACUGUCCCUAUCUACUAUCUAGUAAAACUAUAGCUAAGGGAACAGGCUUAGUAGAAUUAGUAGGGAAAGAAGACCCUAUUAAGCUUAACUUUAGUUUAAUAUUAAUAAAAAGACAUAGGAGGUGUAG
rnacentral:rRNA from 1 species